AUUGAACGCUGGCGGCAUGCUUUACACAUGCAAGUCGGACGGCAGCACAGAGAAGCUUGCUUCUUGGGUGGCGAGUGGCGCACGGGUGAGUAACAUAUCGGAACGUACCGUGCUGUGGGGGAUAACUAAUCGAAAGACUAGCUAAUACCGCACAUUUUAUGUGGAAGAAAGCACAGGACAUUUGCGCCUUGCGCUGGUUGAGCGGCCGAUGUCUGAUUAGCUAGUUGGUGGGGUAAAGGCCUACCAAGGCGACGAUCAGUAGCGGGUCUGAGAGGAUGAUCAGCCACACUGGAACUGAGACACGGCCCAGACUCCUACGGGAGGCAGCAGUGGGGAAUUUUGGACAAUGGGCGCAAGCCUGAUCCAGCCAUGCCGCGUGUCUGAAGAAGGCCUUCGGGUUGUAAAGGACUUUUGUCAGGGAAGAAAAGGGGGGGGUUAAUACCCCUGUCUGAUGACGGUACCUGAAGAAUAAGCACCGGCUAACUUCGUG
rnacentral:rRNA from 1 species